GUCCCUAUGGUCCAAUGGAUAGGACGCAGCCCUCCGAAGGCUGAGAUGGAAGUUCGACUCUCCCUAGGGACA
rnacentral:tRNA from 1 species